rnacentral:rRNA from 1 species
UGCCAGCCGCCGCGGUAAUACAGAAGCCCCGAGCAUUACCCGGAUUCACUGGGCGUAAAGGGUGCGUAGGCGGUUAUAUUAGUCGGGUGUUAAAUUGUGGGGCUCAACCUCACAGCCGCAUCCGAAACGGUAUAACUAGAAGGAGUGAGAGGUGAACGGAACUCAAGGUGUAGGGGUGAAAUCCGUUGAUAUCUUGGGGAACACCAAAUGCGAAGGCAGUUCACUGGCACUCUCUUGACGCUGAGGCACGAAAGCGUGGGUAGCGAACGGGAUUAGAUA